GAGGAGUGGCGGACGGGUGAGUAACACGUGGGUAACCUACCCAUCAGAGGGGGAUAACACUUGGAAACAGGUGCUAAUACCGCAUAACAGUUUAUGCCGCAUGGCAUAAGAGUGAAAGGCGCUUUCGGGUGUCGCUGAUGGAUGGACCCGCGGUGCAUUAGCUAGUUGGUGAGGUAACGGCUCACCAAGGCCACGAUGCAUAGCCGACCUGAGAGGGUGAUCGGCCACACUGGGACUGAGACACGGCCCAGACUCCUACGGGAGGCAGCAGUAGGGAAUCUUCGGCAAUGGACGAAAGUCUGACCGAGCAACGCCGCGUGAGUGAAGAAGGUUUUCGGAUCGUAAAACUCUGUUGUUAGAGAAGAACAAGGACGUUAGUAACUGAACGUC
rnacentral:rRNA from 1 species